rnacentral:rRNA from 1 species
UGGCGACCGGCGCACGGGUGAGUAACACGUAUCCAACCUGCCGAUGACUCGGGGAUAGCCUUUCGAAAGAAAGAUUAAUACCCGAUGGCAUAGUUCUUCCGCAUGGUGGAACUAUUAAAGAAUUUCGGUCAUCGAUGGGGAGUGCGUUCCAUUAGGUUGUUGGCGGGGUAACGGCCCACCAAGCCUUCGAUGGAUAGGGGUUCUGAGAGGAAGGUCCCCCACAUUGGUACUGAGACACGGACCAAACUCCUACGGGAGGCAGCAUG